rnacentral:rRNA from 1 species
UACGUAGGGUGCGAGCGUUAAUCGGAAUUACUGGGCGUAAAGCGUGCGCAGGCUGUUUUGUAAGUCAGAUGUGAAAUCCCUGGGCUCAACCUAGGAACUGCGUUUUGAAACUACAAGGCUAGAGUGUAGCAGAGGGGGGUAGAAUUCCACGUGUAGCAGUGAAAUGCGUAGAGAUGUGGAGGAAUACCAAUGGCGAAGGCAGCCCCCCUGGGUUAACACUGACGCUCAUGCACGAAAGCGUGGGGAGCAAACAGG